rnacentral:lncRNA from 1 species
CACUUGGCUUAUCCAAUAAACCAAUUGGACUUGAUCCAAUCAAGCCCAAACUAAAUCUAAUUAAAUAAUAUUUAAUUAGACUUAAUCUCAGCCCAUUGGCUUAAUCAAAUUAAGCCAAUCAGCAAUCGAAUUGCUAAUAGAUCCUCCUGCAACACUUGAACUGGGUUAAAUGUCAAUCGUAUUGAUCAUUUAACCCUAGAACGAUUCUUAAUCGUUGAUCAACCAUCCGAUCGGAUCAUGAACUCUAAUGUGUGUGACCUCAUAGGUCCGAACCUAAGCCGGUAGCAUAGGAAUAAAUUCCUAUACCAAUCGAAGUGACCAUCUAGCAAUGGUACCCGAUGAUCGGAUAGGUCGAAUGUGUAGAACAACAUCCUUAGAAUCCAUGC